AGCGAACGCUGGCGGCAGGCCUAACACAUGCAAGUCGAACGGAUCCUUCGGGAUUAGUGGCGGACGGGUGAGUAACACGUGGGAACGUGCCCUUUGGUUCGGAACAACUCAGGGAAACUUGAGCUAAUACCGGGUGUGCCCUUCGGGGGAAAGAUUUAUCGCCAUUGGAGCGGCCCGCGUCUGAUUAGCUAGUUGGUGAGGUAAAGGCUCACCAAGGCGACGAUCAGUAGCUGGUCUGAGAGGAUGAUCAGCCACAUUGGGACUGAGACACGGCCCAAACUCCUACGGGAGGCAGCAGUGAGGAAUCUUGCGCAAUGGGCGAAAGCCUGACGCAGCCAUGCCGCGUGAAUGAUGAAGGUCUUAGGAUUGUAAAAUUCUUUCACCGGGGACGAUAAUGACGGUACCCGGAGAAGAAGCCCCGGCUAACUUCGUGCCAGCCGCCGCAGUAA
rnacentral:rRNA from 1 species